rnacentral:rRNA from 1 species
GAUCCUGGCUCAGGACGAACGCUGGCGGCGUGCUUAACACAUGCAAGUCGAACGUGAUUUUUAUGGAAGGACCUUCGGGGACGGAAGUAAAAUGAAAGUGGCGAACGGGUGAGUAACACGUGAGCAACCUACCUUACACAGGGGGAUAGCCGUUGGAAACGACGAUUAAUACCGCAUGAGACCACAAUAUCGCAUGGUAUAAGGGUCAAAGAUUUAUCGGUGUAAGAUGGGCUCGCGUCUGAUUAGCUAGUUGGAAGGGUAAAGGCCUACCAAGGCGACGAUCAGUAGCCGGUCUGAGAGGAUGAACGGCCACACUGGAACUGAGACACGGUCCAGACUCCUACGGGAGGCAGCAGUGGGGAAUAUUGCACAAUGGGGGAAACCCUGAUGCAGCGACGCCGCGUGAGCGAAGAAGGUUUUCGAAUCGUAAAGCUCUGUCCUAUGAGAAGAUAAUGACGGUAUCAUAGGAGGAAGCCCCGGCUAAAUACGUGCCAGCAGCCGCGGUAAUACGUAUGGGGCGAGCGUUGUCCGGAAUUAUUGGGCGUAAAGGGUACGUAGGCGGCCUUUUAAGUCAGGUGUGAAAGCGUGAGGCUUAACCUCAUUAAGCACUUGAAACUGGAAGGCUUGAGUGAAGGAGAGGAAAGUGGAAUUCCUAGUGUAGCGGUGAAAUGCGUAGAUAUUAGGAGGAAUACCGGUGGCGAAGGCGACUUUCUGGACUUUUACUGACGCUCAGGUACGAAAGCGUGGGGAGCAAACAGGAUUAGAUACCCUGGUAGUCCACGCCGUAAACGAUGAGCACUAGGUGUCGGGGUCGCAAGACUUCGGUGCCGCAGUUAACGCAUUAAGUGCUCCGCCUGGGGAGUACGCACGCAAGUGUGAAACUCAAAGGAAUUGACGGGGACC